rnacentral:rRNA from 1 species
GGCGAACGGGUGAGUAAAACACAAAAAUUUACUUUUUAGUUUAACAUGAAGCGUAUUCACUUUUUUGAACAAAUUUUUAAAAUAUUUUAAAGAUUAUUUGAUCCAAUGUAUGCUAAUAUUAAAUAAGUACUGAAAAAAGAUUAGUUAUUAUUUAACUAGUUGCUAAAAAAUAGUUUUGUUAAAAAUUAGGUAGUUGGUAAAUUAAUAGCUUACCAAGCCCAUAAUUUUUAGUUGAUUUUAGAGAUUGAUCAACCACACUGGAACUGAGACAAGGACCAGGCUAAAUUAUUUAGUCAGCAGUAAGGAAUAUUGGACAAUGAACAAACGUUUGAUCCAGCAAUACUAUCUGAUUGAAGACGGCUGAAUCGGUUGUAAACUUUUUUCGUUAAAAACGAUAAUGACGUUAUUUAAAGAAGUUUUAGUCCCGGCUAAUCUCGUGCCAGCAGCCGCGGUAAAACGGGAGGGGCAAGCGUUACUCAAAAUAACUGGGCGUAAAGAGUUUGUAGGCUGUGUUGAAAGUUAUUUGUUAAAUUUUAAAGCUUAACUUUAAUUAUACUUAUAAUACUUCUUCACUUGAGUUUUUUACGAAAGAAUAGAAUUUUAGAUGAAAAGAUAAAACUUUUAGAUAUAUAAAGGAAUACCAUUUAGCGAAAGCGGUUCUUUAGUAUAAACUGACGCUGAGAAACGAAAGUACAGGGAGCAAACAGGAUUAGAUACCCUGGUAGUCUGUAUCGUAAAUUAUGAGUGCUGUAAUUUAAAUUUUUAUUUUUGUAGAAAUACUUUAUUAAUUAUUAGAUUUUUAAGCUAACGCAAUAAGCACUCCGCCUGAGAAGUACGACCGCAAGGUUAAAACUCAAAGGAAUUGACGGGGACCUAACACUAGUGGUGGAGCAUGUGGUUUAAUUCGAUAAUCCACGAAAACCUUACCAACCCUUGAUAUAGAAUUUUUAUUUUUAUUCAAAAGCAAAGCGUAAAUUCAAUAAAUUUUACAGGUGUUGCACGGCUGUCGUCAGUUCGUGUCGUGAGAUGUUUGGUUUAUUCCUUUAACGAGCGUAACUCUUGUUUUUAAUUAAAUCAAAUUUUAAAUUUUAAAUUAAGGUUUAAUUUCUUUUUAAAAAAUUAUCAAUGAUAAAUUGAAGGAAGACAAGAAUCAAGUCAAGUUUAUGUGACCCUAAUGGGUUGGGCUACACACGUGCUACAAUGAAAAUUACAAAGUCAUAUUAAAAUUAAAAGUUUGUGUUAAUUUCUAAAAAUUUUCUUAGUUCAAAUUGUAAAACUGCAACUCGUUUACAUGAAGCUGGAAUCACUAGUAAUCGCAAAUUAGAUUGUUGCGGUGAAUGCGUAUAUUGGUCU